rnacentral:rRNA from 1 species
AACGAACGCUGGCGGCAGGCCUAACACAUGCAAGUCGAGCGCGCCUUCGGGUGAGCGGCGGACGGGUGAGUACCGCGUGGGAAUAUGCCCUUCUCUACGGAAUAGUCCUGGGAAACUGGGGGUAAUACCGUAUACGCCCUUUGGGGGAAAGAUUUAUCGGGGAAGGAUUAGCCCGCGUUGGAUUAGGUAGUUGGUGGGGUAAUGGCCUACCAAGCCGACGAUCCAUAGCUGGUUUGAGAGGAUGAUCAGCCACACUGGGACUGAGACACGGCCCAGACUCCUACGGGAAGAAGCAGUGGGGAAUCUUAGACAAUGGGGGCAACCCUGAUCUAGCCAUGCCGCGUGAGUGAUGAAGGCCUUAGGGUUGUAAAGCUCUUUCAGCUGGGAAGAUAAUGACGGUACCAGCAGAAGAAGCCCCGGCUAACUCCGUG